AUACGGAGGAUGCAAGCGUUAUCCGGAUUUAUUGGGUUUAAAGGGUGCGUAGGCGGUUUGCUAAGCGGGAGGUGAAAUGCCGGCGCUCAACGUCGGAAGUGCCUCCCGAACUGGUGGACUGGAAUGACUCUGCCGUGGGAGGAAUGUGUAGUGUAGCGGUGAAAUGCUUAGAGAUUACACAGAACACCGAUUGCGAAGGCAUCUCACGAAGGGUUGAUUGACGCUGAGGCACGAAAGCGUGGGGAUCAAACAGGAUUAGAUACCCUGUAGUCCACGCAGUAAACGAUGAUGGCUAACCGCUGGUUUAUUCGGACCAGUGGCCAAGCGAAAGCGAUAAGCCAUCCACCUGGGGAGUACGACCGCAAGGUUGAAACUCAAAGGAAUUGACGGGG
rnacentral:rRNA from 1 species